UACAGAGGUCUCAAGCGUUGUUCGGAUUCAUUGGGCGUAAAGGGUGCGUAGGUGGCGCCGUAAGUCAGGUGUGAAAUUUCGGAGCUUAACUCCGAAACUGCAUUUGAUACUGCGGUGCUUGAGGACUGGAGAGGAGACUGGAAUUUACGGUGUAGCAGUGAAAUGCGUAGAGAUCGUAAGGAAGACCAGUGGCGAAGGCGGGUCUCUGGACAGUUCCCGACACUGAGGCACGAAGGCCAGGGGAGCAAACGGG
rnacentral:rRNA from 1 species